AGGCGAUGAAGGACGUACUAAGCUGCGAUAAGCUAUGGGGAGCUGCUAAGAAGCAUUGAGCCAUAGAUUUCCGAAUGGGGCAACCCAACACGCAGAGAUGCGUGUUAUGUAGGCAACACAGAGUGGAAAAUUUAGCAAUUUAUAGAAUGUAAAACAAGAUUCUAAAAGCAAGAUUCUAUAAUCUUUAGAAUCUAGUUUUUAUCCAAAGUUAAGAUUCAAUGAAUUUGUAAAUGUUAUGGAAUCUAGAUUCUAUAAAAGCAAUAAAAGUUUGGAAUCUAAAAUAGAUUCUAUAAACGUUUUAUACUGAAUCUUUGGAUGAAAGAUAGCGAAACAAUUUCGAGUCGAUUUUAAGGGUUGUAAGGGUGUGUUGCCUACAAGCGAACCUAGCGAAGUGAAACAUCUCAGUAGCUAGAGGAAAAGAAAUCAACAGAGAUUCUCCUAGUAGCGGCGAGCGAACGGGGAAAAGGGCAAACCGAAUGCUUGCAUUCGGGGUUUAGGACUGCGACAUCCACUUGUAUCAUUUAGCAGAAUUAUUUGGAAAACUAAGCUAUAAAGGGUGAUAGCCCCGUAUGCGAAAAAUGAUACAUAGGUAGCAGUAUCCAGAGUAGGUCAGGACACGUGAAAUCUAGUCUGAAGAUGGGAAGGCCACUCUCCAACCCUAAAUACUACUAUCACACCGAUAGCGAACAAGUACCGUGAGGGAAAGGUGAAAAGAACCGCAGUGAGCGGAGUUACAUAGAACCUGACCCCAUGCGCCUACAAUCUUUCAUAGCCCUAUAGCUUACCAGGGUGAUGGACUGCCUUUUGCAUAAUGAUCCUGCGAGUUGUGGUAUCUGGCAAGGUUAAGCAAACGCGAAGCCGUAGCGAAAGCGACUUUUAACGAGGGUUAAGUCAGAUGCUGCAGACCCGAAGCCAAGUGAUCUAUCCAUGACCAAGUUGAAGUAAGUGUAAUAGCUUAUGGAGGACUGAACUCGUACCCAUUGAAACGGGUUGGGAUGAGUUGUGGAUAGGGGUGAAAGGCCAAACAAACUUGGUGAUAGCUGGUUCUCUUCGAAAUAUAUUUAGGUAUAGCCUCAAGUGAUAGUAAUAGGGGGUAGAGCUCUGAUUGGGCUAGGGCUACUCACCGUGGUACCAACCCCUGUCAAACUGCGAAUACCUAUUACCGUAUCUUGGGAGUCAGGCGGUGGGUGAUAAAAUCAAUCGUCAAAAGGGGAACAACCCAGACUACCAACUAAGGUCCCAAAGUUCUAUUCUAAGUGGAAAAUGAUGUGAAGUUACUUAGACAACCAGGAGGUUGGCUUAGAAGCAGCCAUCCUUUAAAGAAAGCGUAACAGCUCACUGGUCUAGUGAUUUUGCGCAAAAAAUUUAACGGGGCUAAGAUAGACACCGAAGUUGUAGAUUAUGCUGAUGCAUAGUGGUAGAAGAGCGUUCGUAUUGCAUUGAAGGUAUAUCGGUAAGAAGUGCUGGAGCGAUGCGAAGUGAGCAUGCAGGAAUGAGUAGCGAUAAAAGUGGUGAGAAUCCACUUCGCCGAAAGUCUAAGGUUUCCUACGCGAUGCUCGUCAUCGUAGGGUUAGUCGGGUCCUAAGACAAGUCAGAAAUGGGUAGUCGAUGGAAAAUGGGUUAAUAUUCCCAUACCAACAUAAGUGUGCGAUGGGGGGACGCAUAAGGCUAAAUGGCGUUAGCUGAUGGAAUAGCUAAUUUAAAAGUGUAGAUUGAAGGAGUGGCAAAUCCGCCUUUGUAUUUGAAACUUGAAUAGCUUGUUGCGACCUUCGGGUCAAGAUAAGUGCCAUUGAUGCCAUCGUGCCAAGAAAAGCCUCUAAGUUUAACUUAUGUUGCCCGUACCGCAAACCGACACAGGUAGAUAGGAUGAGUAUUCUAAGGCGCGUGAAAGAACUCUCUUUAAGGAACUCUGCAAACUAGCACCGUAAGUUCGCGAUAAGGUGUGCCACAGAAAUGUGGUCUCAGCAAAGAGUCCCUCCCGACUGUUUACCAAAAACACAGCACUUUGCAAACUCGUAAGAGGAAGUAUAAGGUGUGACGCCUGCCCGGUGCUCGAAGGUUAAGAGGAUUAGUUAGCGGCAAGUUAAAGCUUUGAAUUGAAGCCCGAGUAAACGGCGGCCGUAACUAUAACGGUCCUAAGGUAGCGAAAUUCCUUGUCGGUUAAAUACCGACCUGCAUGAAUGGCGUAACGAGAUGGGAGCUGUCUCAAAGAGUGAUUCAGUGAAAUUGUAGUGGAGGUGAAAAUUCCUCCUACCCGCGGCAAGACGGAAAGACCCCGUGGACCUUUACUACAGCUUGGCACUGCCGAUGGGAGCAUUAUGCGCAGGAUAGGUGGGAGGCUUUGAAAUCUUUACUCCGGUGGAGAUGGAGCCAUCGUUGAGAUACCACCCUUAAUGCUUCUAUUUGCUAACUAGCUUAUGUCAUCCAUAAGUAGGACAAUGCCUGGUGGGUAGUUUGACUGGGGCGGUCGCCUCCUAAAAAGUAACGGAGGCUUGCAAAGGUUGGCUCAUUGCGGUUGGAAAUCGCAAGCAGAGUGUAAUGGCAUAAGCCAGCUUAACUGUAAGACAAACAAGUCGAGCAGAGACGAAAGUCGGUCAUAGUGAUCCGGUGAUUCUGUGUGGAAGGGUCAUCGCUCAAAGGAUAAAAGGUACCCCGGGGAUAACAGGCUGAUCUCCCCCAAGAGCUCACAUCGACGGGGAGGUUUGGCACCUCGAUGUCGGCUCAUCGCAUCCUGGGGCUGGAGCAGGUCCCAAGGGUAUGGCUGUUCGCCAUUUAAAGCGGUACGCGAGCUGGGUUCAGAACGUCGUGAGACAGUUCGGUCCCUAUCUGCCGUGGGCGUAGGAGAGUUGAGGAGAGCUGUCCCUAGUACGAGAGGACCGGGAUGGACAUGCCACUGGUGUAUCUGUUGUUCUGCCAAGAGCAUCGCAGCGUAGCUACGCAUGGUAGUGAUAACCGCUGAARGCAUCUAAG
rnacentral:rRNA from 1 species